UUUGCGUUACGAGUACUUAAGUUAUGAGCAUGCUCAAAGAAUACAUUAAACUCACUUUGAAGGCCCCAUUGUAACAUGGCACACUUAUUCAAAAGUUGAGAAGGUUACCGACAUCAUCAUGACGCUGAAUUACAUAAAUGUAGUCCCUUUUGUCCCAUUAAAGAUUUUCACAUGUGGCCAAGGCAACCAGCUUCACCUGUAGGAUUGUUGCCAGGGAAACACCGGCAGGAAGGGCAACAUGAAUACAAAGAGGAAGGGAAGGUACAAAUCUAAACAGAGCACAGUGGGAGAGUAUUACAGUGGACAAAAGAGUGGGCUCCAUCCAUUUUUCAAAUAGUGGACCUCCCACAUACAAUAUCUGCUGUUUGACAUUCACAAAUUCAUCUGUUCUCAGAUUUUUAUUUAUUUUUUGCUCACGAAAUAUCAUGCCCACUGUAUUCAAUAUUCUGAAAUAUGGAAACUAAAAGUCUGAAUUUGAGAGGUAGGAGGAAAUUCUGUGUAUUGUAUACACGGUGCUCAUUUUAUUCUAGUGUAAGCAUG